rnacentral:rRNA from 1 species
CGGGGAAUUUUGGACAAUGGACGCAAGUCUGAUCCAGCCAUGCCGCGUGCGGGAAGAAGGCCUUCGGGUUGUAAACCGCUUUUGUCAGGGAAGAAACGAGUUUCUCUAAUACAGAGACUUAAUGACGGUACCUGAGGAAUAAGCACCGGCUAACUACGUGCCAGCAGCCGCGGUAAUACGUAGGGUGCAAGCGUUAAUCGGAAUUACUGGGCGUAAAGCGUGCGCAGGCGGUGACGUAAGACAGAUGUGAAAUCCCCGGGCUCAACCUGGGACCUGCAUUUGUGACUGUAUAGCUAGAGUACGGUAGAGGGGGAUGGAAUUCCGCGUGUAGCAGUGAAAUGCGUAGAUAUGCGGAGGAACACCGAUGGCGAAGGCAAUCCCCUGGACCUGUACUGACGCUCAUGCACGAAAGCGUGGGGAGCAAACA